rnacentral:rRNA from 1 species
ACGGGGUGCAGCAGGCGCGAAACCUCUACAAUGCACGGAAGUGUGAUAGGGGGACUCCAAGUGCUUGGCUUUGCCAAGCUUUUCUGAAGUGUAAACAACUUUAGGAAUAAGGGCUGGGUAAGACCCGUGCCAGCCGCCGCGGUAAUACGGGCAGCUCGAAUGGUGUUCACGUAUAUUGGGCUUAAAGCGUCCGUAGCUGGUUUAGUAAGUCCUCGGUGAAAUCUUAUGGCUCAACCAGGAGAAUUGCCAAGGAUACUGCUAAACUUGGAGUCGGGAUGGGUCGGAGGUAUUCUCUGGGUAGGAGUAAAAUCCCGUGAUCCUUUGAAGACCAACGGUGGCGAAGGCGUCCGACUUGAACGCACUCGACAGUGAGGGACGAAGGCUAGGGGAGCGACGCGGAUUAGAUACCCGCUUAGUCCUAGCCGUAAAUGAUGUCGAUUUAGUGUCGCGUAACUUACGAGGUUAUGCGGUGCAGUAGGGAAACUGUUAAAUUGACCGCCUGGGAGUACGACCGCAAGG